rnacentral:rRNA from 1 species
UCGAGGAUCUUCGGCAAUGGGCGCAAGCCUGACCGAGCGACGCCGCGUGUGCGAUGAAGGCCUUCGGGUUGUAAAGCACUGUCGAGAGGAAGAAAUACCCGCAAGGGUUUGAUCGACCUCUGGAGGAAGCACGGGCUAAGUUCGUGCCAGCAGCCGCGGUAAGACGAACCGUGCUAACGUUAUUCGGAAUCACUGGGCUUAAAGGGCGCGUAGGCGGGCUCGCAAGUCAGGGGUGAAAGCCCACAGCUCAACUGUGGAAGUGCCUUUGAUACUGCGAGUCUCGAGGGAGGUAGGGGCGUGCGGAACUUCCGGUGGAGCGGUGAAAUGCGUAGAUAUCGGAAGGAACACCGGUGGCGAAAGCGGCGCGCUGGACCUCUUCUGACGCUGAGGCGCGAAAGCCAGGGGAGCAAACGGGAUUAGAUACCCCCGUAGUCC